AGUCGGGACGCGGGCGGCGCGCGCGGGACCCCGGAGCCCAAACCCGGGGCAGGCGGGCAGCUGUGCCCGGGCGGCACGGCCAGCCUCCUGAUUUCUCCCGAUUCCUUCCUUCUCCCUGGAGUGGCCAACAAUGUCCACCAUGGUCAGUGUGGAUUCCCUUGCGGAAUAUGAGAAGAGCCAGAUCAAGAGAGCCCUGGAGCUGGGGACGGUGAUGACUGUGUUCAGCUUCCGCAAGUCCACCCCUGAGCGGAGGACCGUCCAGGUGAUCAUGGAGACGCGGCAGGUGGCCUGGAGCAAGACCGCUGACAAGAUCGAGGGCUUCUUGGAUAUCAUGGAAAUAAAAGAAAUCCGCCCAGGGAAGAACUCCAAAGAUUUCGAGCGAGCAAAAGCAGUUCGCCAGAAAGAAGACUGCUGCUUCACCAUCCUGUAUGGCACUCAGUUUGUCCUCAGCACGCUCAGCUUGGCAGUUGGCUGAGAAAGCAGAUAUAUUCUGUGGAUCAAACCAGAAGAAACAGCAUCAGUCUCCGAGAGUUGAAGACCAUCUUGCCCCUGAUCAACUUUAAAGUGAGCAGUGCCAAGUUCCUUAAAGAUAAGUUUGUGGAUAUAGGAGCACACAAAGAUGAGCUCAGCUUUGAACAGUUUCAUCUCUUCUAUAAAAAACUUAUGUUUGAACAGCAAAAAUCGAUUCUCGAUGAAUUCAAAAAGGAUUCGUCCGUGUUCAUCCUGGGGAACACUGACAGGCCGGAUGCCUCUGCUGUUUACCUGCAUGACUUCCAGAGGUUUCUCAUACAUGAACAGCAGGUGAGAGCACAAGGUGUGUGGGUGGCUGAGGGAGCUGGCGGGAUGCUACUGGGGACUCGUCUCACCCUUCUGCCACCUGUGCUCACCUGGCCACCUGUCUUCAUGGAAUGAUUGCAGUCUGCCAGAUGCCGGAGACUUCAGAUUGCUCUCUGAUGCCACUGAAACUCUGGAUGAGAAGAGCCUCAUGUCGGGCCUCUUUUCAAGGCACACAUUG
rnacentral:sRNA from 1 species